rnacentral:rRNA from 1 species
UACGUAGGGGGCAAGCGUUGUCCGGAAUCAUUGGGCGUAAAGCGCGUGUAGGCGGCUCGAUAAGUCUGCUGUGAAAGUCCAAGGCUCAACCUUGGGAUGCCGGUGGAUACUGUCGAGCUCGAGUCCGGAAGAGGAGUGUGGAAUUCCUGGUGUAGCGGUGAAAUGCGCAGAUAUCAAGAGGAACACCGGUGGCGAAGGCGGAUCUCUGGGCCGUAACUGACGCUGAGGAGCGAAAGCAUGGGGAGCGAACAGG